UACGGGGGGGGGCAAGCGUUGUUCGGAAUUACUGGGCGUAAAGGGUUCGUAGGUGGCCAACUAAGUCAGACGUGAAAUCCCUCAGCUCAACUGGGGAACUGCGUCUGAUACUGGUUGGCUUGAGUGCAGGAGAGGAACGCGGAAUUCCAGGUGUAGCGGUGAAAUGCGUAGAUAUCUGGAGGAACACCGGUGGCGAAGGCGGCGUUCUGGACUGCAACUGACACUGAAAAAACGAAAAGCCAGGGGGAGCAAACGGG
rnacentral:rRNA from 1 species